AUCCGUCUAUACUUGUAAACAAAAUGCCUUUUUUGGGUGGAUUCUUGAUGUUUGGUUUACUGUUUGAACAAGUUGCUGACAUUACAUUUGGUUAUCAAUGGAAAAUAGGCCGCUUUAAUGAAUAGCCUAUAUAGCCUAUAGAUCAGAUCACACUGUCCCCACGGCUGCGGAAGGAAUGCCGGAGGAACCGCUCAUUUUGUGGCGAAAGACGACAUUGAAACACUGCUACUGUACCGUCCAUCUCCGUUGUGUACGAAUUUAUCUUUAGGCCACUGAAUCUUAGGAAUAUGACCUUACAAAUGAUACUUGAGCUGUGUAACAGAAAGCAAUAGUCCAACUCUUGACAAUUCUUCCAAAAAAAGUGACUGAAACAUCUAACGCUGGCUACGUUGCUCCACUGUUUUCCUGUAACAGUGACUGAAACAUCUAAUGCUGGCUCCGCUGCUCCACUGUUUUCCUGUAACAGUGACUGAAACAUCUAACGCUGGCUACGUUGCUCCACUGUUUUCCUGUAACAGUGACUGAAACAUCUAAUGCUGGCUACACUGCUCCACUGUUUUCCUGUAACAGUGACUGAAACAUCUAACGCUGGCUACGCUGCUCCACUGUUUUCCUGUAACAGUGACUGAAACAUCUAAUGCUGGCUACGUUGCUCCACUGUUUUCCUGUAACAGUGACUGAAACAUCUAAUGCUGGCUACACUGCUCCACUGUUUUCCUGUAACAGUGACUGAAACAUCUAACGCUGGCUACGUUGCUCCACUGUUUUCCUGUAACAGUGACUGAAACAUCUAAUGCUGGCUACACUGCUCCACUGUUUUCCUGUAACAGUGACUGAAACAUCUAAUGCUGGCUACGCUGUGCGUCAACCUUCCCUUGUCCUUCAGUGGCGCUGGCCCACCAUUUUCUCGAGAGGAGCUUGUCGGGUACAUGUGUGUGUGUGAUUGUGAGCGUGUGUCGAGGGAGUGGGCUGCUGCUGGACAGUCAGUCUAUACUUCAAGGCAACAGGCAGAUGAAUAGUCUGCCUGUUGCUAUUGAUCUGCCGUCUGCAGUUACACCAUCUGGCCAGGAGGGGGAGACCUCAAUCUGUCACCUUCACAUAGAGCGCAGCAGUUCCUUGUGUUGCCGAGCGAUGAAGUUCACAGCAGCGUACUCAAGCAGGGCCGAGAAGACAAACAGGAGGCACACGGCCAUCCAGAUGUCAAUGGCUUUCACAUACGACACCUGUGAUUGAGGACACGGUGGUAAGCAGGAGGAGGACAACAACAACUACAACACCAACUGACCUUGGAGUCGAAGAUAAUGUACAGUACCAUCUGCAUUCGGAAAGUAUUCAGACCCCUAGAAUUUUUCCACAUUUUGUUACAUUACAGCCUUAUUCUAAAAUGGAUUCAAUCAUUUCCCCCUCAUCAAUC